UACAGAGGUCUCAAGCGUUGUUCGGAUUCAUUGGGCGUAAAGGGUGCGUAGGCGGCGCGGUAAGUCGGGUGUGAAAUCUCGGAGCUUAACUCCGAAACUGCAUUCGAUACUGCCGUGCUUGAGGACUGGAGAGGAGACUGGAAUUUACGGUGUAGCGGUGAAAUGCGUAGAUAUCGAGAGGAACACCAGUGGCGAAGGCGAGUCCCUGGACAACACCUGACACUGAGGCACGAAAGCUAGGGGAGCAAACAGG
rnacentral:rRNA from 1 species